UUAGAGUUUGAUCCUGGCUCAGGAUGAACGCUAGCGACAGGCCUAACACAUGCAAGUCGAGGGGUAACAGGGGCUUCGGCCCGCUGACGACCGGCGCACGGGUGAGUAACGCGUAUGCAACCUGCCUGUAACAGCGGGAUAGCUCCCUGAAAGGGGAAUUAACACCGCAUAAGACCACGCUCUCGCAUGGGGACGGGGUAAAAUAUUUAUAGGUUACAGAUGGGCAUGCGUGACAUUAGUUAGUUGGUGAGGUAACGGCUCACCAAGACUGCGAUGUCUAGGGGUUCUGAGAGGAAGGUCCCCCACACUGGAACUGAGACACGGUCCAGACUCCUACGGGAGGCAGCAGUGAGGAAUAUUGGUCAAUGGGCGAGAGCCUGAACCAGCCAUCCCGCGUGCAGGAUGACAGUCCUAGUGAUUGUAAACUGCUUUUCUAUAAGAUGAAUAAGGACUACGUGUAGUUCGAUGACCGUAUUAUAGGAAUAAGCAUCGGCUAACUCCGUGCCAGCAGCCGCGGUAAUACGGAGGAUGCAAGCGUUAUCCGGAUUUAUUAGGUUUAAAGGGUGCGUAGGUGGGCGUUUAAGUCAGUGGUUAAAGCCAAUAGCUUAACUAUUGUAUGCCAUUGAAACUGGAUGUCUUGAAUAGGGUAGAGGUAGGCGGAAUGUGUUGUGUAGCGGUGGAAUGCUUAGAUAUAACACAGAACACCGAUUGCGAAGGCAGCUUACUAUGCCUUUAUUGACACUGAUGCUCGAAAGCGUGGGGAUCAAACAGGAUUAGAUACCCUGGUAGUCCACGCUGUAAA
rnacentral:rRNA from 1 species